rnacentral:rRNA from 1 species
AAUCAUAUGCUUGUCUUAAAGACUAAGCCAUGCACGUCUAAGGAUAAACAAUUUUAUUCGUAAACCUGCGAACGGCUCAUUAAAUCAGUUUAAAUCUAAUCAGUUGUACCUUUAAUUGGAUAACUGUAGUAAUUCUAGAGCUAAUACAUGCAACAAACCUGAACUUUUCGGAACAGGUGUAUUUAUUUGUCUCUUAAAACUAAUAGUAGCAAUACUUAAUCCAAUGAUUUAAAAUAACCAUACAAAUCGCAAUUUUUUUUGCGAUAACUUGAAUGAUAUUCUGCCCUAUCAACUGUCGAUGGUAGUGUAGAGGACUACCAUGGUGGGUAACGGAGAAUUUGGGUUUGAUUCCGGAGAAAAAGCCUGAGAGACGGCUAUUACUUCCAAGGAAGGCAGCAGGCGCGUAAAUUACCCAAUCCUAAUAUGGGGAGGUAGUGACGAGAAAUACUAGUAUCGGUCUUUUAUAAGAACGAUGAUUGGAAUGAGAACAACGUAAAUACAUUAACGACUAACAAGUGAAGGGCAAGUCUGGUGCCAGCAGCCGCGGUAAUUCCAGCUUCACUAGUGUAUAUUAAAGUUGUUGCGGUUAAAAAGCUCGUAGUUGGAUUUCGAACUUUGGGCUCUUUUGUUCAAUUUAUUGUUCAAUUGAGUUCCAUACUUCUUCUUAAAGAGUUAAAACUCUUAAAGUUUACUGUGAAAAAAUUAGAGUGUUAAAAGCAGGCAAUUGCCAGAAUAUUUCAGCAUGGGAUAAUAAAAAAUGACUUUCGUCAGAUUUUGUUGGUUUCUAAGGCGAAAGUAAUGAUUAAAAGGGACAGUUGGGGCAACUUGUAUUGAUUCGCUAGAGGUGAAAUUCUAUGAUUGAGUCAAGACAAACUACUGCGAAAGCAUUUUGCAAGGAUGUUUUCAUUAAUCAAGAACGAAAGUUACAGGAUCGAAGAUGAUCAGAUACCGUCGUAGUUGUAACCGUAAACAAUGUCAACUCAGGAUUAAAAGAUAUUAUUUGAAUGAUUCUUUUAGCACUGUGUGAGAAAUCAAAGUAUCCAGACUCCGGGGGGAGUAUGGUCGCAAGACUGAAACUUAAAGGAAUUGACGGAAGGGCACCACCAGGAGUGG